GACGAACGCUGGCGGCGUGCCUAAUACAUGCAAGUCGAGCGAGCGGAACUAACAGAUUUACUUCGGUAAUGACGUUAGGAAAGCGAGCGGCGGAUGGGUGAGUAACACGUGGGGAACCUGCCCCAUAGUCUGGGAUACCACUUGGAAACAGGUGCUAAUACCGGAUAAGAAAGCAGAUCGCAUGAUCAGCUUUUAAAAGGCGGCGUAAGCUGUCGCUAUGGGAUGGCCCCGCGGUGCAUUAGCUAGUUGGUAAGGUAAAGGCUUACCAAGGCGAUGAUGCAUAGCCGAGUUGAGAGACUGAUCGGCCACAUUGGGACUGAGACACGGCCCAAACUCCUACGGGAGGCAGCAGUAGGGAAUCUUCCACAAAGGACGCAAGUCUGAUGGAGCAACGCCGCGUGAGUGAAGAAGGUUUUCGGAUCGUAAAGCUCUGUUGUUGGUGAAGAAGGAUAGAGGUAGUAACUGGCCUUUAUUUGACGGUAAUCAACCAGAAAGUCACGGCUAACUACGUG
rnacentral:rRNA from 1 species